CAGGCUUCCUCUGAUGGAACCAGUCAUUGUUACACCAGUAUCAACAACAAGUGUUCAUUGAGCACUAAGCAUGUGCCAGACCCUCUUCAAACUCAGUUUGCUUUUGUUGAAUUGACUCUGGUAAUCCUUAUAAGAAGGGCAAUGGUACUACCCUGAUUUGUUUGUUCAACUGAAGCCAACACCGGAAGCUCAGGAAAGGUACAGAUGCCAACAGAGACCAAGUUGAGAAGCAUGCAGGUUUCUGGAAAUUUGUUCCCAAAUGUGUGCCCAGCCUUCCUCCUGCACGGUAUACUGGCCUCUUAGGUCAAAUCUGGCCUCUUUAAUUCUGCUGCUUUUCUGACAUUUGUGUGGAAGCCUCUUAGCUUGUUCUGACUUGUGUGGAGCUACCUUCCCUGUUACUCCUGAUUCACAGGAAGAAAGGAGCCAUCAAAGAAAGCCCGGCUCCCGGAGGCUCCGCGCCGCGCUCCCUUUUGCCCGCCCGACUUCUGAGCGGAGCGCUCCGGAGGGAGGAGAACCGGC